GGAAUCGCCCAGCUGUCCCCUCAGACGGCAGCCCGUGGCCGUCCCCUUCGCCGUGGGAUGCGGGGAUUUGGGGAGGCUGAAGGAGUCGGGGCCCCCACCGCUGUAGCGCUGCUGCCCCCAUUAGGGCCUGGAACCCCGAGCCUCCAACACUGCUCACGGUGCCCCCCAAGGCUGAGUUUCAGUCUCCAGUCUGCUGAUCCGAAAGAAAGAAGGCGGCUUUUGGAGGACUUGAUCAUCGCGAGUCGAGCUGCUGCUGAACCUCCCCUUCCAACAUCCAGCAGGUUUGUUCUGCAGGCCCCGAUGAUGGCACAGGCAUGAAAGAGCCCAGAGCUCGUCGCUGGGGAGAGGCUGCGUAUGGCGUUGUGAAGGGAGAGAUGGAGGAGGGGUUUGAGCAGCGCUGUGCAGGAAUGAACGGCUGGUAAGAGAAGAGAAAACGCCGUCCUUUUGCUGAACUUUGCUCAUUACAUACUUGUCAUUAAGGAAAAAAUGCUUGGUGCUGCCCUGGGAAACUCGGCAAUCUCCACAGCAUUGCUCUCCAAGUUAGCACGCUCAUGGCCAGGCUGUGUUCCCUGCAGCUCUUUGCACGUGCUUUGCAGACAGUCUGUCUGUGGGCAGUGCAAAGGACUGCUGCCUCCGUUGCAUCACUGGACGGCAGCAUUCGCUGACGGAGCUGUGGCAGUUCUGAGCGAGCGCCGCGAGACCAAUAACGAGGAGGUGGUGCAGCAGCUCUCCGAGUGCCGCUGGACAAAUCAGGCCGUGCGCUCUCUGUGAAUCUAUAAAUUUGACUGGUGUUUAUUGACUACGUUUGAAGGUGGAGUGCUGAGAUGGGCGGCACUCAGCGCUGCCCUGUAACGCCGCGCACUGCAGAAGCUGCUGCCUGCUGACGCUUCUCCUCUCAGUCCUUCAGCUGCAGCUUCUGCAUCAUCUCCACAAGGCUGUCCACUGCGGAGGCCUGGGAAGAAACGGAGCGAGGGUAGAAACAGGACACCACUUCCCUCGGGAUUUUACAGUCUCUUCCUUUCAUGUGUGACAGACAGAGGCCCUGAGAACAACAAGAGCCGUGUCUGUGUUCACCAAGGACUCACCUCUGCACGUGCAGCAGCAGCUCUGAGGGCAGCCUUCUUCAGCUCCACUCUCCUCUCUUUUCGUUGUCGUCUUCUUUCUGUAAGGCAAGAAAAAGAGAUGAAUUCAUUUUGUCUACAGUGAAAUGGCAGAAACAUACAUGCCGUACAAGCAUAAGGCAGCAAAAAGACGGAGGAAAUGGGACUAGGAAGCCUCCCAGUGAAUGACAUUUCCAGGAGGCGUGCAGAAGACUGCCAUAGAGUUAACGGGAAGAGACAGGCUUACACGUUCGGGCACCUCACUGCCUUUGGACUUUGUAGCCUUCCACUCUUUUCCCCUCCACAGAGAAGGAAAAAGCAAAGCCAACCCUAAGCAAACUCAGUGUGCUCGCACAGGGAAGCGCCUCAGCACGGCGGGUACCACAGCACCUUCUCACCUCUUUGCUUGGAGAUCCGAGCAGCAGCAGGCCCAGGGUGUGCUGCUGGAGCCGGCACACAGUCUCCACUCGGCCCCCUCACUCUCUUAUUGGAAGGCAGCUGUUCUGCUGUUGGUUUCCCUUCCUCCAAGGCCUUGCGUUUACAUCCAGCCUGGGUGUUGGAGACAGAGCGGGGGCACACGGCAGGGGAAGGUCUUCCCCCUGUGCUGGGACCUGCUCUUCUAGGGAGACCUCCAGCCUGCAGAGGAGCUUGAGCUGCUGCCUGUUGAGAAGCUCUCUCAGUAUGGACCUGCUGGACCACUUUGACAUAGAUUUUGGCAUUUGGCUCAGCACCAAUCUCUGUUAAGAAAGCAAAAACAAGGAGAUUUAAUGAGAGCCCAACACUACUUUCAGUCAGCAAAACGGGUCACAAUCCUGGGACAUCUCAUCUCGAGUGCUCACGGUCAUGGAUCAUAGGAUCUCGGCUGAACUGUGGGGUCACAUUUCUAAGCAGCACAGGAAUACUAAAUGUAAAUGCAGGGAUUAAGACCACAACCAACACACAACGUCCACAGUCCCAGGAAAGGACGGACAGAAAGUUUCACUAGAGAGACAGUGCACCAAGCCCAGGUGCCUGCUGUGUGUCUGUACCGCUCUUGGGUGCUGUGCCACACUGGGCGCUUCUGCCUUGCCUUUCUGCAAGGCUGCGCUUUGCUGGAAGGCCGCUCGCAUCAGCUUCUGGCAGAAAGGAGACAAGAAAGACAUGAAGAGCAUCUCUGUGGCCGAAGAUUUGAGCACAGCCAACCACAAACUUCUGGUCUGCAAGAGCAGUUUCUUCAGCUUGCCUUUCAGCUGUUACAACAUUAUGCCAACUCUGCAGUCAGCACAAAUCUGCAGUGCCCUUUCCUCUCCACUCCAUCGCACACUCUGCCAUCCAUGCUGCCCUGUUUAGAGGCACUUGCCCACAGCACAGCUCACAAGAGCUUCUUACCUGCGGAGGCUUUGCGUUUCCAGCCUUGCCCAGCACCACUCCAUGGACGCGCAGGCUCCAUCCCUACAACAACAGAUGGUGUGUUGAUUUCACAGACACCAGCAGGCAGCAGAAGUACUGCCCAGUAUGCCCACGUCCCCCCAGAAAACAGAAAGAGGCUACUUGGACAGCCCAAACACAAACUGAUUGAUAGUUCACUUCUCACUGCUCCUUCCUGCACUCCAAAUGCAUGCUCAUUUGACAUCCCCUGAAGCGCUGCACCCGCCCAGAACGAAUACUCAAAAUUCAUUCCUCCACACUUCAUGACAGAGGGCCGAAGAAACUCACUUCUGUAUGGCAUGAAGGACCGUCCGUCCCUGUUGCGUCCCUCUGUGCGCUGGAAGGCACGGUCGGAUCUCUGGCAGCCUGCUGGCUGCUGCUCCCAACCGCGGGGAACCGCGCCGCGCCGCUUCUGAAGAGAGAAAGGAAGAAACGGUGGUGGGAACGGGCAGCCAAGGCUUGCAGAGAGGUUCCAGAUCGUGCCAGAGAGGGGAUAUCAGAGUGCUGAGACACUGAUUAUCACUAAGGGAAAAGACGGCCUGAGCCACGUCCGCGAUGUUAGCCCAGGCUGUCAGCAGUGAGCGCUGAAUGCAACCGGUUACUGAGGUCACCAAGGACCAGCAGGGCUCCCCCUGCUCCGUCCCUUCCCCUUGAGAACAAGAGAAAGGAAGAACCAAGCAGAAGAAGCCCAGCCAUACCUUGCCACUCAGACGGCAGCAAUUGGAACCGCGGUCAUCUCCGUGCUGAGACAUGGCCGCUGAAGGCUCAGAGGAAGCUGAAGUUCCCAGGCCUCUGUGCACAGGAACUUCCCCGGCCCUUGCAAAGAGCUGGCUUCCCUCUUCCUCCGACUGCCUCGAUCCCAAAAUCUCCCUUGGGACAGGAACCCUGCAGAGAGUACCGACGAGUGCACACGCGGUGCUUCUGACGGGCUCUCACAGGGUGAUCUGUUCCACGGAAGGCCCAGAGCUCAGCCUCGGUGUGCAGCACGCUCACCAGAGCACCAGCUCUGCUCACCAGCUGUGGUGGAAACGCUGCCACCCCAGCAGUGAUUGUGACCUCAGCGAGUGCCCGCAUCGCUUCCGUGCUUUCAUCAUAAGCGAAGGAAAUGGACGACUCCCUGAUCCACAUCUUAGGAAAUCACCACCAGGGUCACCUAGUGGGGUUAUUUGAAUAAUGGAGAAGUGAAGAUGACUCUUGUGCAGCCCAAUAAAAAACAGUCAAGACCA